ACUCAUUCAACGUCAAGAAAUGUGGACUUCUGGUCAAGAUGGCAGAUGGCUCCUGAAUACCUCAGUAGAACUCCUGGCCUCUCUGUGGCAUGACUGAAUAAAAAGGAAUGUGCCAAACCUCAGCAUGGCACGCUCACUCUUGUAAGUGGGUUGGUUGUAAAAUGAGCUAGCUCAUUAUUCCAACCCACAAUACAAAACUGCUUUUGAAAGGAACUCCUGUUCUUAAAAGUAAAAAAAGGGCAGUUUAGAAACAAAAAGCAUUGGGCUUAGGAAGGUACUCUUUCUUGUGAUAUAACUUUAAGUUGGGUAGCAGCCACUGAUUUGAAAGUACCCGUGGGGUUCAGGCCAAGCUUUGGAACUUUAUUUCCACACAUAAACUAAUAUGGAAAGAAACCUGCUAUCACUCUGGAGCAGCGGUUCCUGCAAAUCGCACACCUGACAAAGCAUUUUACAUCUGCCAACCUCCUUCCUUCUCCUGGAGCAGAUAAUGGCUCUCCAUUUACUAAGGUGGCAAGAGGCGCCAGUUUUGGAAUGAAUUAGAUUACCCGCUGAAAUGUAUAUUACAUUUUUAUCUCCUGCAUCCUUACUGCAUAAAAGGAUUUAAAUACUAUUCUGUCCCACUAACACAGCCAGCUGCUGGCCAUUCCUCCAGAAUGAGUCCCUUUUCAGAGGUGAAAACACACAGCCCAGACAGCUGGAAAGCAGUCAGCUGGCCACCAUGAACGUGGCUCCCGAGUUUCCCAUGGACUGCUCUCUACUGUGCUCCACCUGACCACCCCCAACUGCUCUUGCCACCAGGCUGACAUCAUCGCACCACUGGCCUAUCAGCCGCUCCAGAGAGAUGCUCAGACAAAUCACAUUUGGUGCUGCUCAGUCUCAUGAGUCAGAAAAUCUGAUUAGAUUUCUAUGCCUUCUGAAUACAACUCUGAGUGUGGUCCCCCAAGCAAAUCGCUGGGCACUUUCACUCAGUCAUUUCAGGUGAAGUUCUGGGGGCCCGGGCAGUGGCAGCCUUCCUGGAAGGAGGCAUGGGAAACGCUCACUCAGAAGGAGCCAAGGCUGUGGGGCAUAUGCUUGAGGACAAAGCAAGAACACUUUCAGAGUGCUUACAGCUUACAAAGCACCUUCAUUCUUAUUUCAUUUCAGGUUCUACACUGUCCAAGGAAGUUAACACUAAAAUGAGUAUGCUUCUGAAA